GUUCGCUGCCCGGCUGCUCCUUCCGGCGGGGGCCCCGAUGAACUUUUGCGCUACAGAAAUACAUCAUUUGCGGGCACUUCAACAGGAUUGAUCCUUGUCAGCAGCUGGUGAUUAGUAGUCUUUUGAGAGAGAGUAGCUUGCUUUCUUUGGUUGACAUGUUUCUACUCCGAUCAAGUUCAAGUUACGGAGUGAUUCCUUUCAUCAUCUGUAAACAAAAUAGCAAGUGUUGACACUGACCAUCAGCAGAGAUUGCCAUGAGUUCUUUGUUUUCCCACUGAAGUCAUAUUGGGUCUAACACGGCACACAUAGAUGGGAGCUUUGGGGUGGCUGACACUUUGGGGUGUAUGUUGUGAAUUUCAAGUGAAAGGGACGUGUUAACUUCAGCCCAGCACCUUUAGCCUUCUUGGGGCUUAAGUUUCUGGCUAAUUUUACAGGUGAAAGUUUAGGUGCCUGUGGCAUCUUUGGCAUCUAGAUAGAUGAAGAUCUCCUUUUUUGAUCUAGAGACAUGUAUGUACUUCUUGAUUUUUUUUUACCAUAAAUGUCUAAAUACUUUCUUGAAUUUUUCCUUAAUUAAUUGCUGAGAUGUUAAUUCUUUAAGAGACAGUAGCAGCAUACAGCCUCUUAGGCAGCUCUGGGUAGGAAGAUGAAGAUUAAAAUAAAUGUGGCCACGAUCAGCUGUCUCUUGCAACAGCCCCCUUUCAGUUAACAGCUCUUCUGGAUGGCUCAAUUUUACAGCUGGUGUGGAAAAGCUGUGGUGAUGAAUAGAAGAGGCUUUUUGGACUUCAUUUGAUUCUAAUGUUCUUUUCAUCUCCAUUUUUUUAGCUUUGGAUCUACACAGUAUGCAGAACAAGAAGAUAAGCAAGAAGAAAUUUUCACUUGCCUUUGUAGUAUUAUUGUGAGUCCUUCAGCAAGAAAAUCUCCAGGAAUUUUUAAAUUCUGAUUUCAGAAUGAAGUUGAUAUUUUACAACAUUGUCUCAUUUAGUGGCAUGAUACAUAACAAAAUAAAAGAUGUAUCACACGGAGAAACAAAUACUCUUGGCUCCAAAGUCAAUAUGUUUUGGAGCCUAACACAGUUAAUUUUUGGCUCCUGUGAAGUUUGCCCAUUCCAUAGCUUAUGAAGCCAGGUGAGGUAAAUUCAUUCAAACUGAUUACUGAUUUAGCUUAACCUUUCUCCCUUCACUGUGCUUUGCAUUCUGGGCAAGAAGCCUGAGUACUACUGAUCCACCUCACCCAGGUUUUAACCUCAUUCACUCAGCCAGUUGCAAGUCUUCAUCACAAGAUAUUUUUAUGUCUCUUGUAAAAGCACCAAACAGAGACUUGUCGUGCCUCAGCUUGAAGAAAAAGAUGUUUUACUAGCUCUGUCAUGGUGAUAUCAUUUAACUGAUACCAAUUUUAGUGGAUGGAAAAAGCCUUUCUGUUAUGAGCACUAGCCAUGGGAGUCAGCACAUAAUGACAUAAGCUUGCAGAAUAAACUUUUAACUCUCA